CGCUGACACUCUGAAUGACAAGGAAAGUGCUCUGAAUGACAGGGUAGAGGAAAGGGCAGUUCAUGUAGGGGCAAACCUCUGUGUUCAACCGUCAUAACGCCGAUAUGCACAUCCCCCUUUCCCCCCUUCCAAGGAGGAAUGCGGAACUGACGGCUGACUGCUGUAAGAGCCCUGAAAGGGCGUGUUAAUUCAGCCCAAUGCGAAGCGCUGGGGAAAAAGGCAUCGCGUCUCGGCGAAGGGCUGUAAGCCUGACGUAACCCUUGUCGUACAUUCGUACGUUCAUUAUUAAUGGUAAACGCCGAACCGUGUAUCGCGUAAUUUGGGUUCAAUCAUCCCGAAAAAGAUUGGGAAGCGAGGCUUAAAGCAACAGCGGAAUCACCUCUGCUACAAUUAUCGUUUUUUGACUGGGGGGCUUGGAAAUCAAAAACAGAUACUUGACUUUGGAUUAUCAAUUGUCAAGCAUCUGUUUGUUGGCUCUAUGCCGUUUUAUCGGACGGCAAUGAAUUU
rnacentral:sRNA from 1 species